GUAAGUAUCAGGAUGGGAAUGCUGCUGACCAACAACUCUGAAGGGAACUUUGUCGUUGAGAUUUGAUGCCUUGAGAUGAUUGGGGACACACCAAGUAGCCACCAGCCAAGGCUGUGUUUUCAGCCACCAGCACCCUGCAGACUUGGAAGGCAACUCUAUCUCAUCCUCCAACUUGGCAGAUAGGCUCCCAUCUAAUAAGGUCCAUGAAGCAAGCUGCAGUCUCCCACUGCCCACAAACCAAGACAGCAGCAAGAGACUCAGAUGGGCAGCCCUUCUGGUAGACUGAAUCCUCCGAUCAAUACAUGUUUGGCCUGUCAGUGAAUAAAUUCUAGAAACGUGACGGAGCCAAUUCAAUGUUGAAGAA